rnacentral:tRNA from 1 species
GGGGAUUUAGCUCAGUGGUAGAGCGCUUGCCUAGCAAGCGCGAGGUCCUGGGUUCGGUCCCCAGCUCCG